rnacentral:rRNA from 1 species
UACGUAGGGGGCGAGCGUUGUCCGGAUUCAUUGGGCGUAAAGAGCUCGUAGGCGGCUUGGCAAGUCGGGUGUGAAACCUCCAGCUCAACCUGGAGACGCCACCCGAUACUGCCAUGGCUAGAGUCCGGUAGGGGACCACGGAAUUCCUGGUGUAGCGGUGAAAUGCGCAGAUAUCAGGAGGAACACCGGUGGCGAAGGCGGUGGUCUGGGCCGGCACUGACGCUGAGGAGCGAAAGCGUGGGGAGCGAACAGG